GAUCCCUAGUCGGCAUAGUUUAUGGUUAAGACUACGACGGUAUCUGAUCGUCUUCGAUCCCCUAACUUUCGUUCUUGAUUAAUGAAAACAUCCUUGGCAAAUGCUUUCGCAGUAGUUAGUCUUCAAUAAAUCCAAGAAUUUCACCUCUGACAAUUGAAUACUAAUGCCCCCAACUAUCCCUAUUAAUCAUUACGUCAAUCCUAGAAACCAACAAAAUAGGAUCGAACGUCCUAUUUCAUUAUUCCAUGCUAAUGUAUUCAAGCGUUAGCUUGCUUUAAACACUCUAAUUUUUUCAAAGUAACAGUCCAAAUUCCCCAAAACACCAAAUUAAUGGCAUUAAGGUUCAUCAGGAAGGAGGAAUCAGUGAGACCAGUACAUACCAGAGGCAUGACCAACCUACUAACCCCGAAAUUCAACUACGAGCUUUUUAACUGCAACAACUUUAAUAUACGCUAUUGGAG
rnacentral:rRNA from 1 species